UACGUAGGUGGCAAGCGUUGUUCGGAAUUAUUGGGCGUAAAGGGCGCGUAGGCGGUUUGUUAAGUCGGCUGUGAAAGCCCGGGGCUCAACCCCGGAGGGUCAGCCGAUACUGGCAGACUAGAGUACGGAAGAGGUAGCUGGAAUUCCCGGUGUAGCGGUGAAAUGCGUAGAUAUCAGGAGGAACACCGGUGGCGAAGGCGGGAUCCUGGGCCAGUACUGACGCUGAGGAGCGAAAGCGUGGGGAGCAAACAGG
rnacentral:rRNA from 1 species